GGUCCUUGACCAAGUUCAACAUUUUUUAAAUAAAAUCCCUGCAGUUGGGAAUAGAAAGAACAUAAUCAUAGAUAGAUAGAUAGAUAGAUAGAUAGAUAGAUAGAUAGAUAGAUAGAUAGAUAGAUAGAUAACAUAAUCAUAGAUAGAUAGAUUAAAUAGAUAGAUUAGAUAGAUGAUAGAUAGAUAGAUAGAUAGAUAGAUAGAUAGAUAGAUAGAUAGAUAGAUAGAUAGAUAGAGAACAUAAUCAUAGAUAGAUAGAUUAAAUAGAUAGAUAGAUUAGAUAGAUAGAUAGAUAGAUAGAUAGAUAGAUAGAUAGAUAGAUAGAUAGAUAGAUAGAUAGAUAGAAAGAAAGAAAGAAAGAAAGAAAGAAAGAAAGAAAGAAAGAAAGAAAGAAAGAAAGAAAGAAAGAAAGAAAGAAUGAAUACGUGGAUGAGAUCAUGCCAUGCUUUUCUACCCUCUCAGGCAUUCAGUGAGAGGAGGGGUCUAUUGUUCCUGGGAUGGAAAUGCCUUUAUAAGUACACGGAAUGCUGUUGUGUUGUGCUUGGCCUUCUGUUUGCACUUUUAAACAGUCUUGCUGUGUUACCCUCCAUGUGUUCUCCAUGUGGACUACAAACUCACCAAUGGCUACUUGACACCUCAUGUAGCUUCCUCAUGUAUUUAAUAUUCUUUCUUUGUUCUGUUGUUUGUAUUUAACUCUAAUGUGGCAUGGAGAGCUUCUAUUCUUGCCAUAUUAUUAGGGCUUCUUAGUGCCUCCAGUGUCUGUUUCUCUGUAUCACUGGGUUUGAGAAGUUUUCUGUUUCUCUGUAUUUGUAAAGGUUUGUUAUGCUUUUAGCCUCAAAUUCACCUCUUCUAUUAAACGUACAUUUAGGUUUUUCAAAG
rnacentral:lncRNA from 1 species